rnacentral:tRNA from 7 species
ACUGAAAAUCCUCGUGU